GGGGCUAUAGCUCAGCUGGGAGAGCGCCUGUUUUGCACACAGGAGGUCAGCGGUUCAAUCCCGCUUAGCUCCA
rnacentral:tRNA from 1 species